rnacentral:lncRNA from 1 species
CCUGUUUCUUGUUUUGGAAAACAUCAGAUGAUUUCUGAGCUUCCACAUUUUCCUUCGCUCCUGAAGAUUCAGAGUCAUCUGUUCUUUGAUCCUCUUCUGCUACUUUGCCAUUGCUGACAGCUUCCACAUUUUUCUUCCCUCCUGAAGGUUCAGAGUCAUCUGUUCUUCUUUCGUCUGCUGAAACUUUGCCAUUUCCGAGGACGCCAGCAGAUUUUUCAUAAUGAGAACUGAUCUCUUCUUCUGCCUCUUCUGCAACUUUGCCAUUGGUGACAGCUUCCACAUUUUUCUUCCCUCCUGAAGGUUCAGAGUCAUAUGUUCUUCUUCCAUCUGCUGAAACGUUGCCAUUUCCGAGGACGACAACAGAUUUUUCAUAAUGAGAACUGAUUUCUUCUGCAUGUUCAGAAUUCUGCAUUUUUUUUUCUCUCUCUGAGAGGUCAUUAGCC